AAAAGGAUAUCGGGAAAAGAUAAGCUUAGAAAAUCUAGUAAAUAUAUGGAGUGUUUUACGAGAUAUCGGCGACGAGGAAGAAAAUGUUGACGGCAAUGCAGAAAUAUAGUUUCUUAUGUAUAUUUUUGUGAAAUAAAAAUUAAGUAAUGUUAGUUAAAAUGUUUCUUUACUUAUUUAA